UAGUGAAUGAGGAGUUACCCUGAUAGUAGCUAGCUAGCGAUAAUAAGUAACAUUUAUAAAGUAUUCUAAGGUUUACAAAGCACUUUGUACAUAUUAUCUCAUUUUGUGUUCACAGCAACCCAGAGAUGUAGCUGCUAAUGGGAAUCCUCUGAUCCUGAUCAAAGG
rnacentral:lncRNA from 1 species